rnacentral:rRNA from 1 species
CAUGCAAGUCGAGGGGUAUAGUUCUUCGGAACUAGAGACCGGCGCACGGGUGCGUAACGCGUAUGCAAUCUACCUUUUACAGAGGGAUAGCCCAGAGAAAUUUGGAUUAAUACCUCAUGGUAUUACGACUCGGCAUCGAGAUGUAAUUAAAGUCACAACGGUAAAAGAUGAGCAUGCGUCCCAUUAGCUAGUUGGUAAGGUAACGGCUUACCAAGGCUACGAUGGGUAGGGGUCCUGAGAGGGAGAUCCCCCACACUGGUACUGAGACACGGACCAGACUCCUACGGGAGGCAGCAGUGAGGAAUAUUGGACAAUGGGCGCAAGCCUGAUCCAGCCAUGCCGCGUGCAGGAUGACGGUCCUAUGGAUUGUAAACUGCUUUUAUACGAGAAGAAACACUACUUCGUGAAGUAGCUUGACGGUAUCGUAAGAAUAAGGAUCGGCUAACUCCGUGCCAGCAGCCGCGGUAAUACGGAGGAUCCAAGCGUUAUCCGGAAUCAUUGGGUUUAAAGGGUCCGUAGGCGGUUUAGUAAGUCAGUGGUGAAAGCCCAUCGCUCAACGGUGGAACGGCCAUUGAUACUGCUAAACUUGAAUUAUUAGGAAGUAACUAGAAUAUGUAGUGUAGCGGUGAAAUGCUUAGAGAUUACAUGGAAUACCAAUUGCGAAGGCAGGUUACUACUAAUGGAUUGACGCUGAUGGACGAAAGCGUGGGUAGCGAACAGGAUUAGAUACCCUGGUAGUCCACGCCGUAAACGAUGGAUACUAGCUGUUGGAAGCAAUUUCAGUGGCUAAGCGAAAGUGAUAAGUAUCCCACCUGGGGAGUACGUUCGCAGAAUGAAACUCAAGGAAUUGACGGGGGCCCGCACAAGCGGUGGAGCAUGUGGUUUAUUUCGAUGAUACGCGAGGGACCUUACCAAGGCUUUAAUGUAGAUUUGACCGUUUUGGAAAC